rnacentral:rRNA from 1 species
UGCAAGUCGAGCGCGGGAAGCCGGCGGACUCCUUCGGGAGGAAACCGGUGGAACGAGCGGCGGACGGGUGAGUAACACGUGGGCAACCUGCCGGACUGAUGGGAAUAACCCCGGGAAACCGGGGCUAAUGCCCAAUACGCCCUGACCUCGCCUGAGGUCAGCGGUAAAGCAGGGAUCUUCGGAUCCUUGCACAGUCCGAUGGGCCCGCGGCGCAUUAGCUAGUUGGAGAGGUAAGGGCUCCCCAAGGCGACGAUGCGUAGCCGACCUGAGAGGGUGAUCGGCCACACUGGGACUGAGACACGGCCCAGACUCCUACGGGAGGCAGCAGUAGGGAAUCAUCCGCAAUGGGCGAAAGCCUGACGGUGCAACGCCGCGUGAGUGAUGAAGGUUUUCGGAUCGUAAAGCUCUGUUGACAGGGAAGAACCCACGUCAGUCGAACAGGCUGGCGUGCUGACGGUACCUGUCCAGAAAGCCCCGGCUAACUACGUGCCAGCAGCCGCGGUAAUACGUAGGGGGCAAGCGUUGUCCGGAAUUAUUGGGCGUAAAGGGCACGCAGGCGGUUUCGUCAGUCCGAUGUGACAGGCCACGGCUCAACCGUGGAAGGCCAUUGGAAACUGCGAAACUUGAGGACAGAAGAGGAGAGUGGAAUUCCACGUGUAGCGGUGAAAUGCGUAGAUAUGUGGAGGAACACCAGUGGCGAAGGCGACUCUCUGGUCUGUACCUGACGCUGAGGUGCGAAAGCAUGGGGAGCAAACAGGAUUAGAUACCCUGGUAGUCCAUGCCGUAAACGCUGAGUGCUAGGUGUUAGGGGUUUCGAUACCCGUAGUGCCGAAGCUAACGCAUUAAGCACUCCGCCUGGGGAGUACGACCGCAAGGUUGAAACUCAAAGGAAUUGACGGGGGCCCGCACAAGCGGUGGAGCAUGUGGUUUAAUUCGACGCCACGCGAAGAACCUUACCAGAUCUUGACAUCUUCCGCUACG